rnacentral:lncRNA from 1 species
UCCCCCCCUUAAACCCCGCCCCCUAAAACCAAACAAACCUUCAGGGAGUUUCCCACCCUUCCUGUGGAAUUAAGAUGUGUUCUGGGCAUCCUUGAUGGAGAGUCCGGCAGAAGACCUUCGUAGCAUCCAGGUGACCACGUGGAAGCAUUUCCCCUUUGCCUCGGGGACGGUUCCAUAGCCUCCCAGCUGUGAUUUCCCAUCAUCUGCUUUGCCUUGUCAAGGCUGCAGCCGCAGGGGUGCCCAAGGUCAUUCGCUGGCCCUUUAGCACGGUCGCACCCCUGAAGGCCAGCCUCGCAGGAGUGGUUUCCUCUGGACGGUCCAAAGACCUGGACACAGUCCGCAGCUUAGCUUCAAAGGCCCCAUCCCAUACCCUUCCGUUCCCACUUUAUCUUCUUUUUUUUUCUUGUAUAUGAAAAAAGGACAACCCCUGCUCAUUGAGGGUUUUGGAAGCGGCCUCAAGCAGGAUGGGUCGAGCUCUCUCUCGACUUCCAAGGAAUCCCAUCUAGCAGCUUCUGUGGGCAAAGGGAGAAUAGUUGGAGGGGCCCUUCCUUUCGGUCCAAAUCCUCCCCAGAACCCGGCCUCAGGAAAGGCCACCUGACCCUCUGCUCCCUUCAUGCCUUUCCCUUAGGAGCCCUCCUCCAGAGCACCCCAGUCACAGGGCUAGAAGAAAGAACGCUGCAGCUUCUUCUGACCGGGCUCGUGCCGUUGCAGGGGGACGCGGGCACGAACCUGGAAUUGGCAGUGGACGCUCUGGAGGACCACAUCCGUCGAAAGUGGGCACAGGUUCGGGACGACGCCACAAGUGGAAGCCGCAUCACUCAGAAUUCAGCCACAUGGUACCGGUGGCUACUUGGAUUUUGCCGGCACUAAAUGCCAUCCAUCGAGAGCAAAGGCUUCACCCCAUGAAAGAGAACUUCUACAGCCGGGCAUUCUGGGCAACAACAGCUGCAUCAUCGGCAAAGAGCCAGUCCUGCAUGCAUUUCAGCUGGACUUUGCUUUCCGCUCUCAAUCUAGAAACAUUAA